CUUGACAAGUCUAGUCAAGAUAACUAGUGUCUAAAAGAUAGAAAUGCAUUCGAAAUAGUAUCCGAGAUAUUAUUCGAGACGCGACAAAGCGAAACACUAGGCCAGUUCCUUGGUUAGACUACGGACUGCGCUGGAGGAGAAACGGGAAAUAGUAGAAAGUGACAAAACGUAGUGACAUCAUCAAUCCCGUAUAAGAAAGAAUGGUUUCUUUGUAAUUAUAGAGAAAGGACAAACAGCAGGAUUGCCAGUAUAUCUUGUGUCAACACAAAACAUCAUUGUUGGAACAGGUGUUCAGCUCGGAACAGAAGGAAAGGCCAUUCACCACAUGCAACUGAUGUCAAAAGUGCAGUUUGUUGUGGCUUCAACACAACAACACACAUUUUGCAUCCUAGUAGUGCUUGUGACAUAUUCAAGGAUGUCAUACUGCACUAUGGCUAAGUUCUACUAUAAUUUUUUUUUUUUUAUGUAAGAGAUCUUUUACAAUGUAUGUCGUAUAUGAUAUGAUGGCUUACUUGACUUUCAUUAUUAUUACAAAGGAGUAUAAUUCACUUAUAGCAGAAUACUUAAUGAUGCAUCGUGCUGGCAAUAUUUUCUUACUAUUUAUGGGACCAAUAUGUAAGUGUAGAACUAUAUAUACUCUGUUCACAGCUUGAAGUCUGUUCUAGGUGUGGCAGAUUCCAAAAUUCAUUAAGUGCAGAGCUGCCAGUUUGACAACCAAUUAUCUGAUUAAAAGAGAGAGAACACAGCUGCAGCAAACACCUCAUCUCUCAGUGCUAUGGGAUCCCUGGAGGAGGAGUGAACCCACUACAAGAUCAAUAGUGUCCGACAUCCUCCUCGAGGUACCGAGGUGCCGCUAAGCAUGCUUUCUCCACAACACUAUGGAAUGUUUUCAACUCUACAGUGGACAUCCCCAAAAAUGUCCACCCAGGACGUGAAGUGUGCCACCCACGCCUGGCAUUGUACACACCCACCUGAUAGUGAAAAGGUUAACAAAUAAAUUGCCUACCAAUGACAUGCCUAGUAUUGAAACAGUAACAGUGUGCCUGACAGUGAUAGUAAUAGUGCUGGAUUGUGACAAGGGAAAUACGAGUGCCUCAAAACAACAGCGAAGUAUCUCUCUCACUCACAAAGCUGUCCUGCCGAACAAUUUUCAAAGAAAAGACAUUAUCAGUCGACAUACUUAGAUAUACACCAAAACUCCCUAUUGUAUUGUUCAUUAUGGAUAGAGAGAGAGAGAGAGAGAGAGAGAGAGAGAGAGAGAGAGAGAGAGAGAGAGAGAGAGGUACAGGAGCGGGAAGCACGGCUAAUUAAAGAAAGAGGAGCUGGGCAGGAGCCACGACUGCAAUCUCUGCAACAGCGUCAGGAAGCGGCGGGACUCACUGUCAUGUUUAAAGUGCAAGUGAAGCGAGUGAGUCCCCUACAACUGCUAAGGCAGCCACAGUGAUGGCCCCUUGUGGCUAUAAGGGCUGUCGCUCAUAGACACCGGGUGAGCUGCUACAGCCCUGUUGUUGGACGUGGCACCAGCAGCAGCCGUACGUCAAUAAGUACUGAAGUUUGUGGAACGCCCUGCUAACAUCAGUGACUUUAAAGUGUCAGUAAAUAACUGGUUGUUGAGGCAGGACUGACGUGACACUAGAUCAGAGUUAGGCUUUUAGACAGGUUUCACUAAAAAUGUGCCUUUAGCCUAUAAAAUACAUUUAGCACAUAAGAUGUACUAUAAUGUAAUCACUCUGUAAUUUGUAUAAAUAAAAGAGAGAGAGUGGGAGAAAA
rnacentral:lncRNA from 1 species